rnacentral:rRNA from 1 species
UACGAAGGGGGCUAGCGUUGCUCGGAAUCACUGGGCGUAAAGGGCGCGUAGGCGGCCAUUCAAGUCGGGGGUGAAAGCCCAGGGCUCAACCCUGGAAUUGCCUUCGAUACUGUUUGGCUAGCGACCGGAAGAGGUAAGUGGAACUGCGAGUGUAGAGGUGAAAUUCGUAGAUAUUCGCAAGAACACCAGUGGCGAAGGCGGCUUACUGGUCCGGUUCUGACGCUGAGGCGCGAAAGCGUGGGGAGCAAACAGG